rnacentral:rRNA from 1 species
UUCCAGACUCCUACGGGAGGCAGCAGUGGGGAAUAUUGCACAAUGGGGGGAACCCUGAUGCAGCGACGCCGCGUGGGUGAAGGAGCACCUCGGUGCGUAAAGCCCUAUCGGCAGGGAAGAAACAGACGGUACCUGACUAAGAAGCCCCGGCUAACUACGUGCCAGCAGCCGCGGUAAUACGUAGGGGGCAAGCGUUAUCCGGAUUCACUGGGUGUAAAGGGAGCGUAGACGGCGACGCAAGUCUGGAGUGAAAGCCCGGGGCCCAACCCCGGGACUGCUCUGGAAACUGCGGCGCUGGAGUACGGGAGGGGCAGGCGGAAUUCCUGGUGUAGCGGUGAAAUGCGUAGAUAUCAGGAGGAACACCAGUGGCGAAGGCGACUUUCUGGACUGUACCUGACGCUGAGGCGCGAAAGCGUGGGUAGCGAACGGGAUUAGAUACCCCCGUA